rnacentral:rRNA from 1 species
UGGGGAAUCUUCCGCAAUGGACGAAAGUCUGACGGAGCAACGCCGCGUGAGUGAGGAAGGUUUUCGGAUCGUAAAAACUCUGUCUUUUGGGGCGAACGUGAGUAUGGUGAACAAUCAUAGUCAGUGACGGUACCAAAGGAGGAAGCCACGGCUAACUACGUGCCAGCAGCCGCGGUAAUACGUAGGUGGCAAGCGUUGUCCGGAAUUAUUGGGCGUAAAGAGCGCGUAGGCGGGAUAGUCAGUCUGUUGUAAAAGUGCGGGGCUCAACCCCGUGAUGGCAAUGGAAACAGCUAUUCUUGAGUGCAGGAGAGGAAAGUGGAAUUCCCAGUGUAGCGGUGAAAUGCGUAGAUAUUGGGAGGAACACCAGUGGCGAAGGCGACUUUCUGGACUGUGUCUGACGCUGAGGCGCGAAGGCCAGGGGAGCGAACGGGAUUAGAUACCCCGGUAGUCCUGGCCGUAAACGAUGGGUACUAGGUGUGGGGGGUAUCGACCCCUUCCGUGCCGGAGUUAACGCAAUAAGUACCCCCGCCUGGGGAGUACGGU